rnacentral:sRNA from 1 species
GCCAGGUAUGGUGGUGUAUACCUGUGAUCCCAGCAACUCAGGAGGCUGAGGUAGGAGGAUCACAAGUUCAAGGACAGCCUCAGCAACUUAGUGCGCCCUCAGGAAUUUAGUGAGACCAUGUCUCAA